AUGGGGAUGGCCAUGACCUCCUCCCCACAGCCACCACCUCCCCCGCGCCGCCGCCGCAGCCGCUUGCACUCGGCAACCACAAUCUCCGCCCCCAGUGCCAACCCCAACCCCAACCCCAAGGCCAAGGUCAUCCCCCUUCUAUCCGACGUCGGCCGCCUUCAGUCCGCAACUCCCACUCCCACCCCAAAUGGCAAUCCUAGCUCCAACUCGAAGGGCAAGGUACUCCCGCUGCUCUCCGACGUCGGCAGCAACCCAUCCGCCAUCGACUACUACUCCCGCGUCGCCUCCAACCUCGCCGGCGCCGGCCGCCUCGGCGACUUCCUCAUCGCCGCAGAGGGCCUCCGCGCGGCCUCCGGCGAUGCCGGAUUCGCGGCCCGCAUCAACUGGCGCCUCCUCUCGCGCGGCGUCGUCGCCGCGCUCCGCGAGCACGGCCUGCCCCACGUGCUCGAGUUUCUCCGCGACGCCGACCGCAUCGGCGUCCACGCCACCGUCAUGCUCGACGCUGAUGCGUCCGACGCCGUGGCGGCCGCCUGCCGGCAGCUGCUGGACGAGCGCAUCAUGGCGGAGUUUGUGGAGGCCAUCGAGGCCCUAGCUAACUGUGGAUUCUUUGUUAAGGGCAUCGUGGAUCCAAUGGAUGUACUGAAAAUAUUCGUCAGGAAGCGAGAUACAGAUAUGGCGAUCAGGUAUGCACGUAUCUUUCCGCACUCCCAACUUCUACUCUGCAAUACUAUGGAAGCUUUUGGGAAAAGAAAGGAAUUGAAACAUGCCCUAAAGGUCUUUGGAGCACUCAAGGACCAGUUGGGAGGUAUCAAUAUGUUUGCGUGCCGAAGUAUCAUCGAUAUAUGUAGUCAUUGUGGUUCUUCUGUACAGGCUCGGAUCAUAUUUGAGGGGCUGCUUGCUGAGAAGAUUACUCCGAAUACACAUGUCUUCAACAGCCUUAUGAAUGCGAAUGCCCACAGCAUGAGCUACAAUUUUUCGGUCUACAAGCAUAUGCAAAAACUUGGUGUCCGUCCUGAUUUGGCGUCAUAUAACAUACUUCUGAAGACAUGUUGCAAUGCUAGAGAGUUCAACACGGCACAAGAAAUUUAUGAGGAAAUGAAGAAAAAGGAACACGAUGGGAUUUUAAAGUUAGAUGUUUUUACAUACAGUACGAUGAUGAAGGUGUUUGCAGAGGCAAAAAUGUGGAAGAUGGCUUCCAACAUCAAAGAUGACAUGCGGGCAGUUGGUGCUCGUCUUAACCUAGUCACAUGGUCAUCAUUAAUCAAUGCUUAUGCAAAUUCUGGUUUGGUUGAUGGUGCCAUAGAGAUCCUUGAAGAAAUGAUAAGGGAUGGCUGUCAACCUACUGCCCCAUGCUUCAAUAUUAUCCUUACUGCUUUGGUCAAGUCAUGCCAAUAUGAUAGAGCUUUCCGCUUGUUCAAUAGCUGGAUAGAAUUUGGAAUCAAGGUAUCUCUGUCGCUUGAACAGAAAGGAUCCCUUCCAGACAACUUCACAUUCUGUGAAGAGCAUCCGGGCACCAAUGGCGGCACUAUCUUGGUGGUUCCAUUUAGGCCAACAGUUACAACUUAUAACAUUUUGAUGAUGGCAUGUGGUACUAAUGAUGAACGUGCAAAGUCUGUAAUGAAUGAAAUGAAGCGGAAUGGUCUUUGUCCUGACCGUAUUAGCUGGUCCAUUCUGAUGGAUAUUUAUGGAACAUCUAAAAAUAGGAAUGGAGCUAUUCAGGCACUCAGAAGAAUGCAACGUGUUGGAAUAAAACUUAAUGUCUCUGCAUAUACUGUAGCUAUUAAGGCAUGUGUAGAAAGUAAAGAUUUGAAGUUGGCGUUGCACUUGUUUGAAGAAAUGAAAGCACACCAACUGAAGCCCAAUAUGGUGACAUACAGAACUCUCCUGACAGCGCGCUCCAAAUAUGGAUCUUUAAAGGAAAUCCAGAAAUGCUUGGCAAUCUAUCAGGAAAUGAGACAAGCAGGGUAUCAAGCAUAUGACUAUUAUCUCAAGGAAUUGAUAGUGGAAUGGAGUGAAGGAGUUUUGUCUAGUGAUGGUGGGAAUCGAAAUUUUUACCAUUUAGAUCGAAAAGAUGAGAGGAACGAAUCAUUCAACCUUUUUCUUGAAAAAGUGGCAAGAUUCUUGCAAAAAGAUGUUGAUCAAAAUCAAACUGUUGAUGUUCGUGGGCUUUCAAAGGUUGAAGCUCGCAUAGUUGUUCUCUCAACUCUCCGCAAAAUUAAAGAGAAGCAUCUUUUAGGAGUAGGAAGAGCAGUCCAGGAUGAUUUGGUCAUCAUCACGGGGCAUGAGAAGACAUCAUACACUGAUGUUGAAACGACUGCUACCGACGUCGAGCAUGCAAUAACUGCUGUUUUGACGGAUGAACUGGGUCUUGAAGUUUUUGUUGGACCAGAAAGCCGUCCUCCUGUUUCAUCCAAACUCAGAGCCCCUUCACGCCCUAGGAGACCACAGGGAAUGAUAAAAAUAACUGUCAACUCACUGAAUCAUUGGCUGAAGAGGAAAUCUGCGAGGGAUGUACAGUGA
rnacentral:rRNA from 1 species